rnacentral:rRNA from 1 species
GCGCGUGACGCAGCCUACACAUGCAGUCGAGCGGUAGAGAGAAGCUUGCUUCUCUUGAGAGCGGCGGACGGGUGAGUAAUGCCUAGGAAUCUGCCUGGUAGUGGGGGAUAACGUUCGGAAACGGACGCUAAUACCGCAUACGUCCUACGGGAGAAAGCAGGGGACCUUCGGGCCUUGCGCUAUCAGAUGAGCCUAGGUCGGAUUAGCUAGUUGGUGAGGUAAUGGCUCACCAAGGCGACGAUCCGUAACUGGUCUGAGAGGAUGAUCAGUCACACUGGAACUGAGACACGGUCCAGACUCCUACGGGAGGCAGCAGUGGGGAAUAUUGGACAAUGGGCGAAAGCCUGAUCCAGCCAUGCCGCGUGUGUGAAGAAGGUCUUCGGAUUGUAAAGCACUUUAAGUUGGGAGGAAGGGUACUUACCUAAUACGUGAGUAUUUUGACGUUACCGACAGAAUAAGCACCGGCUAACUCUGUGCCGCAGCCGCGGUAUACAGAGGGUGCAAGCGUUAUCGGAAUUACUGGGCGUAAAGCGCGCGUAGGUGGUUCGUUAAGUUGGAUGUGAAAUCCCCGGGCUCAACCUGGGAACUGCAUCCAAACUGGCGAGCUAGAGUAUGGUAGAGGGUGGUGGAAUUUCCUGUGUACGGUGAAUGCUAGAUUAGGAAGGAACCAGUGGCGAAGGACCACCUGGACUGAUACUGACCUGAGGUGCGAAACGUGGGGAGCAACAGGAUAGAUCCCUGGUAUCCCGCCGUUACAUGUCACUACCAUUGGGACCUUGACUCUAGUGGCGCACUAAACA